AGACCCGAAACCCGGUGAUCUAGCCAUGGGCAGGUUGAAGGUUGGGUAACACUAACUGGAGGACCGAACCGACUAAUGUUGAAAAAUUAGCGGAUGACCUGUGGCUGGGGGUGAAAGGCCAAUCAAACCGGGAGAUAGCUGGUUCUCCCCGAAAGCUAUUUAGGUAGCGCCUCGUGAAUUCAUCUCCGGGGGUAGAGCACUGUUUCGGCUAGGGGGCCAUCCCGGCUUACCAACCCGAUGCAAACUGCGAAUACCGGAGAAUGUUAUCACGGGAGACACACGGCGGGUGCUAACGUCCGUCGUGAAGAGGGAAACAACCCAGACCGCCAGCUAAGGUCCCAAAGUCAUGGUUAAGUGGGAAACGAUGUGGGAAGGCCCAGACAGCCAGGAUGUUGGCUUAGAAGCAGCCAUCAUUUAAAGAAAGCGUAAUAGCUCACUGGUCGAGUCGGCCUGCGCGGAAGAUGUAACGGGGCUAAACCAUGCACCGAAGCUGCGGCAGCGACACUGUGUGUUGUUGGGUAGGGGAGCGUUCUGUAAGCCUGUGAAGGUGUGUCGUGAGGCAUGCUGGAGGUAUCAGAAGUGCGAAUGCUGACAUAAGUAACGAUAAAGCGGGUGAAAAGCCCGCUCGCCGGAAGACCAAGGGUUCCUGUCCAACGUUAAUCGGGGCAGGGUGAGUCGACCCCUAAGGCGAGGCCGAAAGGCGUAGUCGAUGGGAAACGGGUUAAUAUUCCCGUACUUGGUGUUACUGCGAAGGGGGGACGGAGAAGGCUAUGUUGGCCGGGCGACGGUUGUCCCGGUUUAAGCGUGUAGGUGUGUGUUCCAGGUAAAUCCGGUUCACUUUAACACUGAGGCGUGACGACGAGGCACUACGGUGCUGAAGCAACAAAUGCCCUGCUUCCAGGAAAAGCCUCUAAGCAUCAGGUAACAUCAAAUCGUACCCCAAACCGACACAGGUGGUCAGGUAGAGAAUACCAAGGCGCUUGAGAGAACUCGGGUGAAGGAACUAGGCAAAAUGGUGCCGUAACUUCGGGAGAAGGCACGCUGACACGUAGGUGAAGUGAUUUACUCAUGGAGCUGAAGUCAGUCGAAGAUACCAGCUGGCUGCAACUGUUUAUUAAAAACACAGCACUGUGCAAACACGAAAGUGGACGUAUACGGUGUGACGCCUGCCCGGUGCCGGAAGGUUAAUUGAUGGGGUCAGCGCAAGCGAAGCUCCUGAUCGAAGCCCCGGUAAACGGCGGCCGUAACUAUAACGGUCCUAAGGUAGCGAAAUUCCUUGUCGGGUAAGUUCCGACCUGCACGAAUGGCGUAAUGAUGGCCAGGCUGUCUCCACCCGAGACUCAGUGAAAUUGAACUCGCUGUGAAGAUGCAGUGUACCCGCGGCAAGACGGAAAGACCCCGUGAACCUUUACUAUAGCUUGACACUGAACAUUGAGCCUUGAUGUGUAGGAUAGGUGGGAGGCUUUGAAGUGUGGACGCCAGUCUGCAUGGAGCCGACCUUGAAAUACCACCCUUUAAUGUUUGAUGUUCUAACGUGGACCCGUUACCCGGGUUGCGGACAGUGUCUGGUGGGUAGUUUGACUGGGGCGGUCUCCUCCUAAAGAGUAACGGAGGAGCACGAAGGUUGGCUAAUCCUGGUCGGACAUCAGGAGGUUAGUGCAAUGGCAUAAGCCAGCUUGACUGCGAGCGUGACGGCGCGAGCAGGUGCGAAAGCAGGUCAUAGUGAUCCGGUGGUUCUGAAUGGAAGGGCCAUCGCUCAACGGAUAAAAGGUACUCCGGGGAUAACAGGCUGAUACCGCCCAAGAGUUCAUAUCGACGGCGGUGUUUGGCACCUCGAUGUCGGCUCAUCACAUCCUGGGGCUGAAGUAGGUCCCAAGGGUAUGGCUGUUCGCCAUUUAAAGUGGUACGCGAGCUGGGUUUAGAACGUCGUGAGACAGUUCGGUCCCUAUCUGCCGUGGGCGCUGGAGAACUGAGGGGGGCUGCUCCUAGUACGAGAGGACCGGAGUGGACGCAUCACUGGUGUUCGGGUUGUCAUGCCAAUGGCACUGCCCGGUAGCUAAAUGCGGAAGAGAUAAGUGCUGAAAGCAUCUAAGCACGAAACUUGCCCCGAGAUGAGUUCUCCCUGAGACUUAAAGUCUCCUGAAGGAACGUUGAAGACGAC
rnacentral:rRNA from 1 species